AAAAGCUUGCACCAUUAAAAGCAAAUAUCAAGAAAGCUUAUGAACAUGCAACUUUAGAUAUUGAAGAAAUGAAUUAUGAAGAGAAUGAUGGCACUGAUUGAAUGGGAAUGAAAAAUAUAAAGCAGAAUUGAUGCUGGGGUCAUUGUUAAGAUUGCAGAAACCAUCUCAUGCAUUUCCACCUCCAUUGUAAAGUUUUGAUGCAAAAAGGAAGCAUAAAUUGUUCAAGUCAUCAUGAAAGAAUUCCCAUUAUACUACGUGUACAUACUUAAUAACCUCAACUAAACUAUAGUUUCCCUUAUGAUGUGCCACUUUUACAGUCUAGCAACCCAGCUAAGAUAGACUCUAAUAGCUGAUGUUUUCUUUCAAUUCUGGUAUAUCCCUAAUGCUAAGUUUGGAUGACAAUCAAUGUAAGACUAACAUAGCCACAGUCCUGAACAGAUUUCAAUGAGAAAACAACUGUAAGCAGAAAAAGUAACCCAAAC
rnacentral:misc_RNA from 1 species